rnacentral:lncRNA from 1 species
CAAAAAUCUUGAUGGAGAGAGGACCUUUCUGUCCUGCUAAUUUACAGUGCAAUUUCCUCAUAAUUUACCUGCUAAUUUACAGUGUCAUUUCCUCAUAUUUUACCUGCUAAUUUACAGUGUCAUUUCCUCAUAAUUUACCUGCUAAUUUACAGUGUCAUUUCCUCAUAAUUUACCUGCUAAUUUACAGUGUCAUUUCCUCAUAAUUUACCUGCUAAUUUACAGUGUCAUUUCCUCAUAAUUUACCUGCUAAUUUACAGUGUCAUUUCCUCAUAAUUUACCUGCUAAUGCGGCUAUUUGUUCUGCAUGUUGCGUGAAAACAAAUCUGCGUCGCAAAUGGCACCCUAUUCCGAAUAUAGUGCACUACUUUUCACCAAGGCCCUUGGGGCUCGGGUCGUAAGUUGUGCACUAUGUAGGGAAUAGGGUGCCAUUUGGGUCACUGACCAAAUAACCCAUUCUAACACAACACAAACAUGAGUUUGUUUGAACUACAGUAGGUUGUUAAUGAUAUCCUGCUUAUACAGUAGGUUGUUAAUGAUAGGCUGCUUCUACAGUAGGUUGUUAAUGAUAGGCUGCUUCUACAGUAGGUUGUUAAUGAUAGGCUGCUUCUACAGUAGGUUGUUAAUGAUAGGCUGAUUCUACAGUAGGUUGUUAAUGAUAGGCUGAUUCUACAGUAGGUUGUUAAUGAUAGGCUGAUUAUACAGUAGGUUGUUAAUGAUAGGCUGAUUCUACAGUAGGUUGUUAAUGAUAUCCUGAUCAUACAGUAGGUUGUUAAUGAUAGGCUGAUUAUACAGUAGGUUGUUAAUGAUAGGCUGAUUAUACAUUAGGCUGUUAAUGAUAGGCUGAUUCUACAGUAGGUUGUUAAUGAUAGGCUGAUUAUACAGUAGGUUGUUAAUAAUAUCCUACUUUUACAGUAGGUUGUUAAUGAUAGGCUGAUUAUACAGUAGGUUGUUAAUAAUAGGCUGCUUCUACAGUGCAGAAAUAAGUAUUUUGCAGAAAUACAGUAAGUGUUUAGUGUUUUAACGUAAGUUAUUUUUGUGUGUUGCUGUCCAUUGACUGAUGGGGGAUAUCAGGCUAUUUUGUUAUUUUUAUAUGAAUUAUUGAAUAACUCAUUGUACUCCGUUGAUGUGAUAUGUGUACUUAUUAAGGUAGCGAGGUAUUGUAGUGAUGCACAGUGGUGAUUUCUAGUCACAAUAUGCCAGCAGCAGACCACCCUGCAUCCCACUGCUGGCUUGCUUCUGAAGCUAAGCAGGGUUGGUCCUGGAUGGGAGACCAGAUGCUGCUGGAAGUGGUGUUGGAGGGCCAAUAGGAGGAAUUGUAGUGAUGCACAGUGGUGAUUUCUAGUCACAAUAAACUACUAAUGUUUUCAGUUAAUACUCUUCAGGAUUUUGUAUGAUUUUUAUUAGCCUGGGUGCCAGUCUGUAUAGCCAGUUAUACAUGAUUUUUAUUAGCCUGGGUGCCAGUCUGUAUAGCCAGUUAUACAUGUGUCACGUCCUAACCAGUAAAAGGGGUUGUUUGUUAUUGUAGUUUGGUCAGGGCAUGGCAGGAGGUGUUUGUUUAGGGUGUUUCGGGGUGUUUUGGUUUAUGUUCUAUGUUAGUGUAUUUCUAUGUUCGUUCUAUUUGUUCUAUUUCUAUGCGUAGUUUAUUGGGUUGAUCUUCAAUUGGAGGCAGCUGUUCCUCGUUGCCUCUAAUUGAAGGUCCUAUUUAAUAGAGGUGUUUUUGUCAUGGGAUUUGUGGGUAGUUGUUUCUCUGUAUAGUCAUUUUGUCCUUACGAGACAGUUUUUUCGCCGUUGUUUUGUGUCACGUUUCUUUAUAAAUAAAGAAGAAGAUGAGCACUUACAUUCCCGCUGCGUUUUGGUCCACUCCAUACGACGAAUGUGACAACAUGAGUUUUAUUAGCCUGGGUGCCAGUCUGUAUAGCC